CGACCAGCCACACUGGGAUGAGACACGGCCCAGAUCUUACGGGAGGCAGCAGUGGGGAAUUUUGGACAAUGGGGGAAACCCUGAUCCAGCAAUGCCGCGUGUGUGAAGAAGGCCUUCGGGUUGUAAAGCACUUUUGUCCGGAAAGAAAUCCUGAUGGCUAAUAUCCGUCGGGGAUGACGGUACCGGAAGAAUAAGCACGGCUAACUACGUGCCAGCAGCCGCGGUAAUACGUAGGGUGCAAGCGUUAAUCGGAAUUACUGGGCGUAAAGCGUGCGCAGGCGGUGAUGUAAGACCGAUGUGAAAUCCCCGGGCUCAACCUGGGAACUGCAUUGGUGACUGCAUCGCUUGAGUAUGGCAGAGGGGGGUAGAAUUCCACGUGUAGCAGUGAAAUGCGUAGAGAUGUGGAGGAAUACCGAUGGCGAAGGCAGCCCCCUGGGUCAAUACUGACGCUCAUGCACGAAAGCGUGGGGAGCAAACAGGAUUAGAUACCCUGGUAGUCCACGCCCUAAACGAUGUCAACUGGUUGUCGGGUCUUCAUUGACUUGGUAACGUAGCUAACGCGUGAAGUUGACCGCCUGGGGAGUACGGUCGCAAGAUUAAAACUCAAAGGAAUUGACGGGGACCCGCACAAGCGGUGGAUGAUGUGGAUUAAUUCGAUGCAACGCGAAAAACCUUACCUACCCUUGACAUGAACGGAAUUCUGCUGAGAGGUGGAAGUGCCCGAUUCCCCGUAACACAGGUGCUGCAUGGCUGUCGUCAGCUCGUGUCGUGAGAUGUUGGGUUAAGUCCCGCAACGAGCGCAACCCUUGUCCCUAGUUGCUACGCAAGAGCACUCCAGGGAGACUGCCGGUGACAAACCGGAGGAAGGUGGGGAUGACGUCAAGUCCUCAUGGCCCUUAUGGGUAGGGUUUUUUUUUUAUACAAUGGUCGGAACAGAGGGUUGCCACCGCAGGUGGAGCCAAUCCCAAAAACCGAUCGUAGUCCGGAUCGCAUCUGCAACUCGACUGCGUGAAGCUGGAAUCGCUAGUAAUCGCGGAUCAACAUGCCCGGUGAAUACGUUCCCGGGUCUUGUACACCCGCCCGUCAACCAUGGGAGUGGGUUUUGCCAA
rnacentral:rRNA from 1 species